UUCUGUAGGUGAACCUGCGGAGGGAUCAUUACCGAGUUUACAACUCCCAAACCCAAUGUGAACGUUACCAAACUGUUGCCUCGGCGGGGUCACGCCCCGGGUGCGUCGCAGCCCCGGAACCAGGCGCCCGCCGGAGGAACCAACCAAACUCUUUCUGUAGUCCCCUCGCGGACGUAUUUCUUACAGCUCUGAGCAAAAAUUCAAAAUGAAUCAAAACUUUCAACAACGGAUCUCUUGGUUCUGGCAUCGAUGAAGAACGCAGCGAAAUGCGAUAAGUAAUGUGAAUUGCAGAAUUCAGUGAAUCAUCGAAUCUUUGAACGCACAUUGCGCCCGCCAGUAUUCUGGCGGGCAUGCCUGUCCGAGCGUCAUUUCAACCCUCGAACCCCUCCGGGGGAUCGGCGUUGGGGAUCGGGACCCCUCACACGGGUGCCGGCCCCGAAAUACAGUGGCGGUCUCGCCGCAGCCUCUCCUGCGCAGUAGUUUGCACAACUCGCACCGGGAGCGCGGCGCGUCCACGUCCGUAAAACACCCAACUUUCUGAAAUGUUGACCUCGGAUCAGGUAGGAAUACCCGCUGAACUUAAGCAUAUCAAU
rnacentral:rRNA from 1 species